AGAAAGACACUCACAUGUUUAAUGUAUAAAUAGAAGUCACGUUUUACUAACUCCUGUAAAAUGUCGGAGAGGAACGCCAACAUCCACUGAUGGAGGAGAAGAAAGAUGGAGGACGGGAGUGCCAGCAUCUACCAAUGGAGGAGAAGAAAUACUUUUAUUAACCAAAACAAUGUAAGUAAAACCUCUCGUUUACACAGAAAGACACUGGACACGUGUAUUGUAAAAAAUGACUUUCUAAUAAUGCUUGUAAAAUGUUGGACUUGAACACCAGAAUCCACUGAUGGAGAACAAGGAAGAUAGAAGAGUACCAUCAUCUACCAAUGGAGGAGGAGGAGGAGAAAAAUGGGGGAGCACCAGCAUCCAAAAGUGUCCCAUAAUCAGCCCCAGGAGGAGAUAUCAGCAGAGGAAAGAAAGACUAUUAACCAAAACAAUGUAAGCAAAACCUCUCAUUUACACAGAAAGACACUGAACUUGUUUUUAUUGUAAAAAUGUUGUCAUUGGUAAAAAAAAAAAAAAAAAUAGAGAGAAAUAGAUGUUCGUUUACACUAAAACCUGUAAAUUGUCCACCACAGUGUCCCACAAUCAGCCCCAGGAGGAGACGCCAGCAGAGGAAAGAAACAAUAUUAACCAAAACAAUGUAAGUAAAACUUCUCAUUUCCACAGAAAGACACUGAUCACAUGUUUAAUGUAUAAAUAGAAGUCACGUUUUACUAACACCUGUAAAAUGUUGGAGAGGAACGCCAACAUCCACUGAUGGAGGAGAAGAAAGAUGGAGGACGGGAGUGCCGGCAUCUACCAAUGGAGGAGAAGAAAUACUUUUAUUAACCAAAACAAUAAUCCACUGAUGGAGAACAAGGAAGAUGGAAGAGUACCAUCAUCUACCAAUGGAGGAGGAGAAAAAUGGGGGAGCACCAGCAUCCAAAAGUGUCCCAUAAUCAGCCCCAGGAGGAGAUAUCAGCAGAGGAAAGAAAGACUAUUAACCAAAACAAUGUAAGCAAAACCUCUCAUUUACACAGAAAGACACUGAACUUGUUUUUAUUGUAAAAAUGUUGUCAUUGGUAAAAAAAAAAAAAAAGAGAGAAAUAGAUGUUUGUUUACACUAAAACCUG
rnacentral:lncRNA from 1 species